UACAGGAAUUGGGAUAUGUGCAGGAAAACAAGUUGACAGUAGAAGUGUGUGGCAAGACUGCAAAAGGAUUUAACUGAUCUAACGGGGCAUGGUAUUGCGAUACCAAAGACUUUGAGCCUUUGUGUUGUUUUCAAUUAUGUUAGUUGUUUCAGAUGCUUGUCUGUAACUUGCCUGUACAAACAUGUUUUGCUCUCAUAAGGCACAGCAGCUAGUACACCGAGAUAAAGAUAUAAUACAUACACACGAAAACACGUUCAUUUAACCAGUCGUGGGAUGAUAGGUCUGAUUCCAGCAUAUGAACUGCUGUAAGGAAUUACCGGUUUGAAUACUAUUGCAGAACACACGAUAUAGUCCUAUUGUCUUUUCUGGCAGUCAUUUCAUGAAUAAAUAUACAUAUUAUUAGAAAGACGUAAAAAACAGAAGCAGUAAGUAUUGUUAGAAAUUCCCUUAUAAAAAGUAUUGAUAUAUUAUUAGGUACAUGUCCAUCCAGUAGUAUUCAAUAGUUAACUAUAGUUCUGGGGCCCCUGCUACAAUACUAGAGUAUUUUAUUUAUAUAUGGAUCCAGAAUCGUAAAUAAUAAAUUGAACUUUCGUCCAAAUCGUCGUGUGCUUGUUCAUUGUAAUAGUACUCUUACCAUAUAGGUAGCUGCUUAAAUCGUUUCUCUACAAAGCAGGUGAAAACAAGAACUGACAUGUUGAGUCACGUGUUAAGCUUCACAUGACGCAUUCGGGGUUUCCCUUCAGAGACUCGCUCUUAGUUUCCUUUAUUUGCAACAAGUUUGACAGACGAAUUGGAUCUCGGCCGGGAUAGGACGUACAUUAUCAGCUGCUUGGACGUUUUAAAAAAACAAAACGCGCGACUUGCAUUGUUUUAACAACAUGAAGCAAGAAAUAAAGACAUCUUCCAUAAAGAAGCCUGACAACCAAAAAAUGGCAAAUAAAGAUCAAAAGAGCAUCACCGAAUGCGGCGUGAACCUCAGAAAAAUUGGAGAUGUGGUCAACUUAAAACACAAACUUCUGAACAUUUUAGCCAAAAAUAACGUGGCGGUGCUUAAAAAAAAGUGAAACAAAUAUAUGAAACAACAAUGUUUGCUGUUGGGUCCUUCCCAUAGAGAAAGAAAAGAGGUAAAACCUUCUUUGUGAUGUAUCAGAAACGCAAGAACAGUUAACAAGGAUCGAAGACUGGGCUUGAAAGAGGCUUGGGAGUUCCCGAGCCUAUUCAUCAGAACGACUGUUCUUCUUGGAACUCUGCUGGGGCUCCUGUUCAGAAGAUACUGGGAAAUAAAACAUGUUAACCUAUCUAUAUCUCAUGUCAAAAUAAAGGGAAGCAAAGGAAUGCUGGUGAACUGUACACUGGGUGUUGAGGAUUUCCAUGCCUUUACCCUGCACAAUGUCCACGAGCUUUCAUGGGUUAAAAUUGGAGGGGUUAGGAAAGCGGGACUCGAUCCUCCAUAUCAAUGCUAUAUUUGGUUAAUUACAUGAAAACGUGUUGCUUUAUAUGUCGCGAUUGACUUGCUGUGUGAUAAUAAUAAAGGAACAGCAAGUUUACUGAUAACACGUUUUAAUGUAGCGGAAAUAAGCACACGCCUGCUACAGUAUAUACUGGUCUAGUUCUGGAACCAUGAGAUUAAAAAAGGUACAUGCAUGAGAUUAAAGUCUAUAUGCUUUGUGUUUUUGGUUGGUGGAGUUAUGCUUGUUAUGUAAAAAUAUACUUUUCUUCUGCAAAUGUUUUUUUUUUUUUUUUUUUUUUUUUUGUCAUUACCUUUACUGAUUGCAAAACAAUAUCAACUGCUUUAAUUUUAUUUAUUUUUUUGUCAGUACUUUUUUUUUUCUCUCAUUGUAAAAUAACAUAAAAUGUAUUAAACAUUUUUGUCAUUAUUUUUGCUCAUUGUAAAAUAACACGUGCAUGCUCUUAAUGGCAAUAAAAUGCAUAAUUGUUGUA